GAGCACGAUGAAUUUCAAGGAGAAAGGCGUCGGGUUCCUUCGGCCGUGGACGGUGAAAACGAGCGGCGUCGUCCACGUUGGUGCUCAAGUGGAGGGAGGAGCGAGCCCAGGGCGUCCACGUCGCCUGGCGACUCUGGCAGCCAAGCAGCUGCGUGCCCUCACGCACGCAGGCGGCGCUGCGCGGGCGGCGGCCGCGCUGGACAGGGCGCCGAGA
rnacentral:lncRNA from 1 species